rnacentral:rRNA from 1 species
CACCGCCCGUCACAUCACGAAAGCCGGCUGCACUAGAAAUCGCCGCGCCAACCCGCAAGGGAGGCAGGCGCUUAAGGUAUGGUCGGUGAGUUGGGGUG